GCCGCUUUAGCUGAGUUGGUAGAGCACAUCAUUCGUAAUGCGGGGAUCGCGUGUUCGAGCCACGCAAGCGCACCA
rnacentral:tRNA from 3 species